rnacentral:tRNA from 4 species
GGGGGUGUAGCUCAGCUGGGAGAGCACCUGCCUUGCAAGCAGGGGGUCAGCGGUUCGAAUCCGCUCAUCUCCACCA